rnacentral:tRNA from 1 species
GGGAGUGUGGCUCAGUUAUAGAGCAUUUGUCUCACAUGCAUGAGGACCUGGGUUCAAUCUCCAUCACUCCAA